GGUUGCGAUCAUACCAGCACUAACGCACCGGAUCCCAUCAGAACUCCGCAGUUAAGCGUGCUUGGGCGAGAGUUGUACUAGGAUGGGUGACCCCCUGGGAAGUCCUCGUGUUGCAACCC
rnacentral:rRNA from 1 species